rnacentral:rRNA from 1 species
UACAGAGGGUGCGAGCGUUGUUCGGAAUUAUUGGGCGUAAAGCGCUUGUAGGCGGCACGUCAAGUCGCGUGUGAAAUCCCCAGGCUUAACCUGGGAAGUGCGCGCGAAACUGACGAGCUUGAGUGCCGGAGAGGGUCGCGGAAUUCCCGGUGUAGAGGUGAAAUUCGUAGAUAUCGGGAGGAACACCAGUGGCGAAGGCGGCGACCUGGACGGACACGUGACGCUGAGACGGCGAAAGCGUGGGGAAGCAACAGGGAU